CACCGAGGUCGCAGCCCCGAGCCAGGUGGUUGGUUACCAGCCAAGCGAGCGAGUGCGCCCGCUCUUCGGGGCUCCUGGGUGCCACCCGGAGGUGUCCUGUUGGUUGCGCUGAUUAGAGCCGUCGCCCCCUCUCGGGCGGCUGGUCCUCUUAUUAGGCGGCAGUGCAGGUGGCAGUGUGGACAGCACACCGCAGAGACAAGCUCAAGAAGACCACACAGCACUGUACGGAAUGCAUUAAGCAGAAUACGAAAGAGCUGGACCUGAGAGCUGGGAAAUGGACAAACCUCAGGAGAAAGGGGCGUUUCUCUGAAGGAGAGAAACCACCGGAGAAAGCACGAAGCGCAGGGAAAACAGAGCAAGCAAUAGAAGCAAGAAAGAUGUGUUUUUUCCUUUCUCGAAUUUUGCAUUGUCACUCGGUGAAGGGGAAGGGAGCCUUUUACCUUCUGCCUCAAUGGAAGACAGGAGCAGGGCCGCGCCCAGGGCGGCAAGCGCUGGGGGAAGCCUACUCCGCAUCCUUGGCCUCCGAGCUUACAGCGGCAUGAAGAGAUCUGCGGGAGGAAGUAGUGACUGCAUCAGAACUGGGUCUGGGCAGGCCUUGAACCAGGUUAGAACUGGAGCCUGGACCUAGUCCAGAACCCGACCAGAUCUGCCUUAAAAACCACAGGGCCUACUCCAGCACAUAAUGGGCCUAUUGUGAAGCAGUGGAAGUCAAGUUCGUCUACAGAAGUUUAAUCAUGGCCCUAGGAGGAAGUUCAAGUUUAAAAAGGGUCCUGUUCUCCUGGAGACUGGUCCUGCUUAGCAUCCCGGGUGAAGGCCUUUACCAGCCCUCACAUGACUUCAUCCUGCCUGGGUAAUGGCUAAUUCAGAGGUCAUUUUAUCCCUCACUCAACUAAAUAUCUCUUCCAGCUGGGGAUUUUAUUUGACUGCUUUUUUCCUAGCUGAUGAACUCUUUAGGUAACUGUACUUUAGUGGUCUCAGGGUAAUUUGGAAAAGUAUAAUAAACCUUUUUAAUUCUCUUUUUUCUUCAUUUUGUUCUGCUUUCAAAUAUGCAGCUCUUUAAGAUCUGAAAUGGAUUAUACAGAAAUAUGUAAGGCCCAGCUGAAACCUGACCCUCCUGCUAACUGUGUUGUUUUCACAUCUGAUAAAUCCUUUACCUGAGAUGAGGGAAAAACAACUCCAAAAUACAUAAUAACAAAUAAGGCAGCAAAAUGGAAGAAGCAAGACACCCUUGUCUGUUUUUCCAACGUGUUUUUAAAUAAAAAUU
rnacentral:lncRNA from 1 species